CAUUGCUUUCCAAUGGAAUUUCUCUCCACUGAGUUAUGGAGAGUUUCCAUGGAGACCAACAAUGAGGCAAGUGACAGCUACAUCACAACAUAAACAACAUCCAACGAGUCAACAACUUUUGGGAAUGAGGAGGCGGUUCCUGAAAAGGCGUCCACAACAAAAUUUGCUGUUUAUUGAGAUAUACUCUCAAUUAAAAGCAAAAAACAAGGAUUCUGGAUGCCUGGGAAAUGGAAUGGGAUUCGGAUGAUGGCAAGGAACGGGAGGUACAAGGGAUGCUGAGAUGAAUUAAGGGAGCUUUUGGAUAAUUGUGGGGAAAAACCCACGAUUUAGGACGGGCAAACUAUUGUACUACGAUUAAGUAGCGUGGCACCUUGAGAAGGUCAAUGACCCUAACAAUAAUGAGCGUAGGUUGCCGACCUACCUCAACGUUAGUGAAAGGAAAAACGAAUAACAUUUUAUUUAUAAUCAACACUUAUCAUUGAUGUCCCCCAUCUCUAUUCGCCACCACUACGAAUUUCUACGUUACACCAUUCGAGUAA